AAAAGUUCAUGACAAUCCAUUCAGCAGUUUCUGAGAUAUUUCACUGCUGAAUAUAAAUGAGAUGUAAAUGUUGAGAGUUCCUCAACAGAUGAUAAAGAGGAAGGACCAAUGAUGUGAAGGCCCAGAUCCAUCAGAGUAUCAAUGUUCUUCCUCUCUCUCCUCCCCUCUCACUGCAGACAUGAAACACUGGCUGAGAAACAUCCUGAUUCUGACUCUCUGGCUAGAGUGUAAAGGAGAAGACAGAGUGACCCAGCCACCAGGAGAUGUCAUUGCUACUGAAGGAGAGACAGUUACACUUGGAUGUACAUUUGAGAACAGUAACCCAGGUCUAACUUUGUUCUGGUACAAACAGGAUGGAAACAACAGCCCCAAAUUCAUACUGAGCCGCAUUCAACGAGAUGAAGGGAACACAGCAGAGAAGUUCAAGGAGAGAUUUUCAUCCACACUGAAUUCCACCUUAAAAUCAGUUCCUCUGAAGAUCCAGAAGCUUCAGCUGUCUGACUCUGCUGUGUACUACUGUGCUCUGCAGCCCACAGUGACAGGAAACACCAAAACUCUGUACAAAAACCUUUGGAGCAAAGACAACAGAAUACUCCACAACAUCCACUAGAGGGAGUCACACACUGUUAAACUUCAGUGGUAUGGGAUUGAAUGGCUGGUUCAUGUAAAGGAUAAUGUCUGACUAUGUGUCUACUAUCAGGAAUUAAUUGACCAUGUGGGUGUGGGGCCGUUGCCCUCACAAUGUCCAUUCAUUCUGUAAAAUGGACACCUCAAACUGCAUGAAUCCACUUAUACCAUGGUCACUUUCCAAUGAAGAAAAAUAAUCUGUAUUUUAUAUUUUCAUGUUU